CUUAGAAAAUUCCUGGAUCCUAAAUUUAGAUCCUAAAGUGAUCCCGGAUCCUAAAGAGAGGUUUGAUCACAUCGAAGGACAGAAUCAAAAUUGGGCACUUUGGAGAAAAAGAUUUUUAUGAUACAGCAUGCCUUCAGAAUUAGCUCAAAGGCCUGAAGGAGGAACUUGCCUUUCUUGUGAGGGUUCAGACCAGUGAUCAUCCAGGAGAAGAACCAUUAAGAUGUGUGUCACUCUACCAGACAGUUCUGCCUCUGAAAUGUUACAAACACAUACCGAUCACCACCUAUCAAUGCAGAAAAAAAAUAAAUCUUUUGGAUCAACCAGCCCCAAAUGUUACAGCUCAGCAGUUUGCUAAACAUGAAACAAUCCUUAUGGGAGACUGAGUUUUACAGGCUCUGUGCACUAUUUUCAUCAUCGAC